GAAUUAUUAUCAAAUUUAAGCUGCUAACUUAAAAAAAAAUGAUUAAACCCAUUUAUAAUUCU
rnacentral:tRNA from 1 species